rnacentral:rRNA from 1 species
UACAGAGGGUGCAAGCGUUGUUCGGAAUCAUUGGGCGUAAAGCGUGUGUAGGCGGUUUGCUAAGUCUGGUGUGAAAGCCCGGAGCUUAACUCCGGAAGUGCACUGGAUACUGGCAAGCUAGAGGACGAGAGAGGGAGGCAGAAUUCCUGGUGUAGGGGUGAAAUCCGUAGAUAUCAGGAGGAACAUCGGAAGCGAAGGCGGCUUCCUGGCUCGUUUCUGACGCUGAGACACGAAAGCGUGGGUAGCAAACAGG